rnacentral:rRNA from 1 species
GAUCAACGCUGGCGGCGUGCCUAACACAUGCAAGUCGAACGAGAAAGGGGACUUCGGUCCCUGAGUACAGUGGCGCACGGGUGAGUAACACGUGACUUAUCUACCCUCGAGUGGGGAAUAACUUCGGGAAACCGAGGCUAAUACCGCAUAAUACCCACGGGUCAAAGGAGCAAUUCGCUUGAGGAGGAGGUCGCGGCCCGAUUAGUUAGUUGGCGGGGUAAUGGCCCCCACCAAGACGGUGAUCGGUAUCCGGCCUGAGAGGGCGCACGGACACACUGGAACUGAAACACGGUCCAGACUCCUACGGGAGGCAGCAGUGGGGAAUUUUGCGCAAUGGGGGAAACCCUGACGCAGCAACGCCGCGUGGAGGAUGAAGUCUCUUGGGACGUAAACUCCUUUCGAUCGGGACGAUUAUGACGGUACCGGAAGAAGAAGCCCCGGCUAACUUCGUG